AUAUUGGGGAGAGACCGAUAGCGAACAAGUACCGUGAGGGAAAGAUGAAAAGCACUUUGGAAAGAGAGUUAAACAGUACGUGAAAUUGUCAAAAGGGAACCAUUUGAAGUUAGUCAUGCUUGCCUGGAUUCAGCCUUGCUUUUGCUUGGUGCAUUUCCAGGUUUGCAGGUCAGCAUCGGUUUUGACUGCUGGAUAAGGGUGAGAGGAAUGUGGCACCCUCGGGUGUGUUAUAGCCUUUCACUGGAUGCAGCAGUUGGGACCGAGGAACGCAGCGCGCCUUUAUGGCGGACCUUCGGGUACCUUCGCGCUUAGGAUGCUGGCAUAAUAGCUUCAAGUGACCCGUCUUGAAACACGGACC
rnacentral:rRNA from 1 species